AAAUUGAAGAGUUUGAUCAUGGCUCAGAUUGAACGCUGGCGGCAGGCCUAACACAUGCAAGUCG
rnacentral:rRNA from 24 species